UGGGCCUUGAAAACCCUAGCCUUUUUCCUCAUAAGAUACACGUGUAUUUACUGAUGGUGCCUCCUUUUGCUUAAGCCGCUUCACACUUCUGAACCUUGCUUUGCUUCACUGUGGCUAUGAGUGGAGACUAAAGGUUCUAAUUCUACUGAAUUGUUGUGAUUCAAGGGAGGUUGAUUUCUUUUAUUUUUGCAACUAAGAGAUACAUUAGGUGGAUUACUGGAGUAGAGAUUCUUGGGAGACAGAAGUUACAAAUUAUUUUUGUGGAACUGAGGAUUUUAUUAUUAUUUUAUGGCAUUAAACUUUGUAUUGGAGAAUUAUUUUGAGGAAGUUUUGUAUUUGGUGA